rnacentral:misc_RNA from 1 species
AAAAAAAAAAAAAAAAGGCUCCAAUCUCAUGAGUAAGUGAUUUUGAGAAAUCCUUACCAUGUAAAUUAGUUUUACUUAGCUUGCAUUUUUUCAGAAGUUCUCGUCUAUUGUCCCAAAUGUCCAACUAACUUUCAAAAGGCUUGCGAUUAGAUUCUUGGGAACUUUAUCCUUGUUCCAGUAAUGGACUUUAGGCAGUGGAUGGAUUUUAUGUUAUGAAAUAACUUGUUUCCAGCAAAAUGAUAAAUUAUGCGUUAAUUUUAUUUUAUUCUUAAUCAAUCACAAAGACAAGAAGCCAAUUUGCAACAUUCUGUCGUUACUCUCUUUCCCACCUAGUGCCAUACUAAAUGUGUCAAAUGGGGCAUUGAGAGUGGCUUUCUCAUGGAAAAGUGUUGAAAGUUUGGUCAUACUCAUACGAUCUCUCACAGUUUUUUGGUCAUGCUUGUACUAUUGGUAUUAUCUGUUUCUAUUCUAUUAUGUGAGUAGCAGAGAAUUGGCUGGAACUAAUGGGUGUUGAACUCAUGUAAAGAAUGAGGAACUGGUGGAUUAUUAUUUUUUAUCAGUCAUUGUAAUGCAAAAGAUCAGAAAAGGAAGAAGAAAAUUUUCUUUCUUUGGGUUUCAGUGUUAUUUCAAGUACAGGGCGAGCUGCUUUUGUGGAUUUAUUCAUAAAAUAUUGUGUUACCUUUUGAUAAGCACCACCUGUCUUUCAAGUUUAAACGCCAGAAUUUUUUUAGGUAAGUUCAAGGACUAUAUAUUGAAUGAGAGUUGUUGUCAAGCCAAGCAUAAUUAUUUAUUUCUUCCUAGCAAAUUAUUUUAUACUUCCAGUUCCUUGAUCAGAUCACUAACCAAAAAGCAUGUCUUAACUACAUCUAAUUGCAUAUUUAUGGUUUUGCAAUAAUUAUUGUCGUACUUGUACACCCAGUCUGUCAUCCAUUGUGGUAUUGAUUGAUGCAAAAUAUGAAUCAGUGUCGGCUUCCCUUGGUACUCAAUAUUUUCACUGCUUUUGGUCUUGUGUUAUAGUAGGUACAUUAAAAGAUUUUUAAGUAUUGAUCUCUUAUUGAAUUUGUUAUGGUGGCUUAGUGUGGCUAAACGAUGUGAAUCAGUGAACACAAUGGCUUCAUUUAUAUGGUGGAUAGUUGGCUUUUAUUGGGUAGUUUCUGGUGGCGACGUCCUUUCGCAAGAUGCUCCACGCUUGUACUGGUAUGUGUUCUGCACAUGUUCUUCACUUUCUUUCUGUUAUACUCUUUUUUUUUUUUUGUGUGUGCGCGCGCACGCUCACCAUCCUGGGAAUAAACAACAAGGCAGGGGACUUCUGCUAGCCUUUUAUGUUAAAUUGCAAAUUUUACUAGAAUGUGUGGUCUGGGAUAUUAUGUUGUGUUAAUAUAAUUUGAAUAUAAUCUUUGAUGCUGUAUGUCUAACUACUUCUUUUGUACUUGUAAUUCUCUGCAAAAUUACAAAGUUGUUGCUCUUGGACUUUGGGGAUGAGGAUGGUGUACUGUAGGUUUCAUUCUUUAAUAAAAAUAAAUUUUCAAUAAAGAAAGAAAAGUUGGGGUCCUACGAAGCAAUCAAAAUGAUAUUUCUCAUCUUAUGCUAAUUUCCCAAGAAGUCAUCUUAAUUAACAUUUAUUCUUCAGAUGCAUUGUACAAUCUCUAAUUUUGAAUCUAUGCAGGCUGGCUGUGGUUUUUCUGGCAUUUGAUGUGUUCUUUGCGAUCUUUUGUGUUGUUUUGGCAUGUUUGAUUGGGAUUGCUCUCUGUUGCUGCUUACCAUGUAUCAUAGCAAUUCUGUAUGCUGUUGCAGGGCAGGAAGGAGCGUCCGAAGCAGAUCUUAGUAUGCUCCCAAAAUACAGAUUUCAUGUGAUGGACAAUGAGGAAAAGCCCAUUGUUGGGUCAGGGAAAAUGAUUCCCAUUGAAUCCAGCAGUGGAUACUUGGCAAAUGAACGCAUACUCUAUCCUGAGGAUGCUGAAUGCUGUAUAUGUCUCAGCCCAUAUGAGAAUGGAGCAGAGCUCCAUACACUUCCUUGCAACCAUCAUUUCCAUUCAACAUGUAUUGUGAAAUGGCUGAAGAUGAAUGCUACUUGUCCUCUCUGCAAGUACAACAUUCUCAAAGGAAACGAACAAGUAUGAUGAAUAGGAUUACAGAAACCCACCGACAUCUGGGUUCAUCCACAUGCUUCUUGUUCAUCUUUCUGUACAGAAGAGACUGGGGCAAAAGGAAAGAAACUUCUCCAAAUUCUUGUGAAAAUUACAAUAUAUGGCAUAGUCAAUAGAGCUGCAUUUGUCUUUUCCGGCCUUUUGAGUUGUCUUGAUUCUUCCUUUUUAUUUAGUUGUUUGAGCUGAGACACUGCAGAAAAAAGAAAAAAAAUAGUCACAUUUUGUAGGCUUUCUGCUUUUGGGUGAUGAAUUGUUUUGUAGUUAUGCAUUUGUUUCUAUAUCACCUGCUAAGUAUGUAAAUGACUUUUUUUUUUUUUGUAUAAUAAUGUAAUUGUAACAGCAUUGUUGGUG